UACGUAGGGGGCAAGCGUUGUCCGGAAUCAUUGGGCGUAAAGAGCGCGUAGGCGGCCCAGUAAGUCCGCUCUGAAAGUCAGGGGCUCAACCCCUGGAUGCGGGUGGAUACUGCUGGGCUAGAGUCCGGAAGAGGUGAGUGGAAUUCCUGGUGUAGCGGUGAAAUGCGCAGAUAUCGGGAGGAACACCGGUGGCGAAGGCGGUUCUCUGGGCCUGACCUGACGCUGAGGAGCGAAAGCGUGGGGAGCGAACAGG
rnacentral:rRNA from 1 species